CUCAAAAUAUCUUACUGUACUGUAUACUGACCCUUCUUUUUGUGAUGAUGUGAGGAGAUAAAAAUCCCCCAUGAUGAGAUGAAGUGAGAUGACUGGUGUAGCACUGAGAUGUAGUGUUAGGCCACUGUUGACCUUCCGACAAUUUGGUAGGAGGAUGAUUUGCUUCUGGACUAUGACUGACCACAGGUAAAUGAAACUGCAGGAAUUGAAACCAUGGAAAAGAGAGAACUACUCUAUAGUCAAUCUCUAAGUGUAAAAGGAUAAAACUGACUACUGUAACUAUUUAAAGAGGCUAAUAACAGUACCUGUUUUGUAGGGUUGAUGAGGAGAUUGAAUGAUGUGGUCUAUAUCCUAUUCCUGGCACAUCACAGGGUUCAUCACGUAUUCUUCCUUAUGGGCCAUCCCUAUGGGGGCUAACCAAAGCCCAUCACCCAUGUUACUUUCUUCAUCAAUGGAAGAACAACUCUGUGGACUACACUGUGCCAGAUCAUUCCCGCGGAGUUGGAGAGUGCAUGCCCCACACUGAAUCGAUGAGGCCGGCUUCCGUGGUGCACAUGGAACAAGUUACCCGGGAUGGUAAACUCAACAUGUUGACUAGGCCUUCGCAGCAGUGUUAACCAUCUGGACUGUGAAAGAAUUGGUCCGAUUUGAGGUAAGAAGCACAGACUCUGUGAUGUGGUCUGGCCUCCCAUGGCACUCACGGUCCUCACUGCCUCUGAACUGGUUUCUGGAAAAACAGCCGAAGCUCA
rnacentral:lncRNA from 1 species